GAGAAUUCAGCGAAGAGUAAAAGCUGGAAAAACCCCUCUCAAUCUGAUUCCCUGCUAUGCCUGCCGUCACCACUGGCCAGUUUUACCACAUGCUUCUCAAGACCCAAGGCACAAUAGGCAUAAAGUUGUCCCGAAAAGGACAAGAGGAGUGUCAGAAGUAGGAAUGGCAGUCGAAGGAACUUGGUCUGCCAGCAGAAAGCUGAAAUGACAGGCAAGCACAAAAUAUAUUAAUGAGACAAAGCUAUGCAUGAGCCAAAUAUCAAACUUUCAUCUUCUACCCACUUUUUUUUUUUUUUUUUUUUUUUUGCUUAAAAACAGGAAGACAGAAUGUCUUGUCAAGGGUCACCCCAGGAGGAGGAGUAAAUUCCCCAAAAAGCGGAACAUAUUUUUAUGAUUUAAUUAAUACAGUUUCUCUCAAUGUGUUUGUUUAUCAUUUGAGCAUCCACAUGAUCAGACCUGACAUCUGCCUACAUUUUCUUGGUCGUCUUUGACUUCAGUUAAGAACCUUUUGCUCUUUUUUUUGCCCCAGCAGCACGGUGUAGUAAGUUUGGAACAAGACACACCUGAAAUCAAGUCCCUGCUCUGUGCUGGGUGAUCUUAGAGGCAAUCUUUUACCUCUUUCUACUUUAUUGUUCUCAUAGGAAAAGUGGAAAUGAGGCCUUUUACCCCAUGGUUGUUGAGAAGACAGAGGAGAAAAAGCACAUAAAAAUGCACCUUGUCGGGCGUGGGGCUCACACCUGUAAUCCCAGCACUUUGGGAGGCUGAGGCAGGUGUAUCACUUGAGGCCAGGAGUUCAAGACCAGCCUGGCCAACAGGAAAAAUACAUUAAAAAUAAUGUCUCUAUUAAAAAUACAAAAAUUAGCCAGGCAUGGUGGUGCAUGCCUGUAAUCCCAGCUACUCAGGAGGCUGAGGCAGAAGAAUCGCUUGAACCCAGGAAGUGAAAGCUGCAGUGAGUCGAGAUCGCAGCACUGGCCAGGCACAGUGGCUCACACCUGUAAUCCCAGUACUUUGGGAGGCUGAGGUGGGUGGAUCACAAGGUCAGGAGAUGGAGACCAUCCUGGCUAACAUGAUGAAACUGCAUCUCUACUAAAAAUACAAAAACAAAAUAAGCUGCGCGUGGUGGCGGGCGCCUGUAGUCCCAGCUACUUGGGAGGCUGAGGCAGGAGAAUGGCAGGAACCCGGGAGGCAGAGCUUGCCGUGAGCCGAGAUUGCACUGCUGCACUCCAGCCUGGGCAACAGAGCAAGACCCUGUCUCAAAAAAAAAAAAAAAAAAAAAAAAGCAUUUUGCCUGGCACCCAGUAGAUCCUCAAUAAAGGUCAUGGCACUUCCUCUAUUUAUUUUGCUUCAUUUUACCCUGGCAUGCUAG
rnacentral:lncRNA from 1 species